rnacentral:rRNA from 1 species
UGGCGAACGGGUGAGUAACACGUGAGUAACCUGCCCUUGACUUUGGGAUAACUUCAGGAAACUGGGGCUAAUACCGGAUAGGAGCUCCUGCUGCAUGGUGGGGGUUGGAAAGUUUCGGCGGUUGGGGAUGGACUCGCGGCUUAUCAGCUUGUUGGUGGGGCAGUGGCUUACCAAGGCUUUGACGGGUAGCCGGCCUGAGAGGGUGACCGGCCACAUUGGGACUGAGAUACGGCCCAG